GUGUGCCACCAAAAUGCGAAGGCUUCAGAUAAUGUAGGGACUGCAGAAAACCAUGGAUGAGACUAUAUGCCUUAGAGUGCAGCUAUAAAAACGAGGUGAAGAUGUGAGAACAGCCCAGCUGGAAAGAGGAGCCACGAAUUGUGCUAUAGGAAGGGUUGGUGCAAUGGUCUGAAUGUGCCUUGGGACUGUAUGGGGGACAUUGCAUGGUGAGCACUGCAUGCAGUACACCUGCACCCUAAUUCAGCCUUUUUUCAGGAGCACCUGAUGUGGAGAACUGAGGAAGUGGGGGGGAAAGGAAAAAAUGCAUAUUGAAAUGCAAUUAGUGAAGAAAAGCCUGGGACAAUGGUUCUGAAUUAGGACGAGCCUGAAAGGCAUCCCAGUACCGUGCACCCUGUCCUCCAGCCCUACGGACAACAAAACCCGGUCCCUGUGCGCCAGGAGGGGAGCGAGGCAAGAAAAGAAAGCAGAGGGAGGGCCGGCAGCGAGAGAAACCCAUCCUGAAUGCGCUAUCAGAUAAGGUGGAUCUGCAAGCUGCUCAGCAUCCAACCAGUAGUUCCAGGUGUUUGAGCAGCAGGAGUCACUUCUACCUUUCAACCUUCUCCUGCUAAUGAGAGUGGAAGAUGCAUUAUGCCGGAGAGGUUUUGGAGUCUUCUGGGUAGCUCUGCUAAUGAAAAACAUGAUUCCAGAGCCUGGAUCGCAGUGUGAUGCAGGGAAAGCCAACCCAUCUCAUUUCAUAGAAUCGUGGAAUGGCCUGAGUUGAGAACAACCUCAAAGAUCAUCAUUCAACCCCACUUCCAUGGGCAGGAUUGCCAACCACCUCAUCUCUGCCCGCAGCACCUGCUCUGAUUAUUUCUUUUCCUUUAAUCCUAACUGAGGGUCUUCAUUCAUGCUGACUGUGACUGGAGACUCAGAAUCAUACCAUUGCCAUUGAAACAAGUGGUGGCCAAUACACAUGAGCCAUGCAUAGAGAGCAGGAGAGAAACACAAGGCGUAGGGAAGCUUCACAUUGUAUACAAGACUUAAGCUGGGCACCCAAAAUCUGCAGGUUCACUGCCUGCCUCUGUGCUUACUGCUUCUGGAGCCCAGCGAGGAUAAUAAUCAUGGUAGCAAAUAAGUUGUCAUCUGCAGGGCUAGACAAGGUCAGGAGAAUUUUGGUGAAAUGUUCUUUUCUGUGUUAUUUUCACUGCGAUCAAAAUGGCUAAAAAUAAGCAGGAUGACAUCCACUCUAUUUUUAUUUAGAUCUCAGUAAUUGAAACACAUGGACAAAAGUCCUGCGUUUGAUUUUCUUUCAUGUGGGAUUUAGUCUUCCUUCCAAACACACACACACACACACACACACACACACACAAAUUAUAUGUGUGUAUGCAUGUGUUUGAAUAUGCGACCGUCCCAUUUAUAUUCUGUGUUUCACUUAUUAAAAACAAAGUUUCAGUCGAAAUAAAACAUGUGCUGGACCAGCCAAUAAUUGUUAUUUAUUUAGCCAGAUGUCACCUCUUGGCGAAUGACUGUGCACUUUGGGGUUUAGUCAUAAAAAAAUAAUACAUUAAAACUGUGGAAUGUUCCCCAAAGUGGAAACUUUGGAUAGAUGGACACGAGGGAGGCUGCAGCCCUGGGCCCCUCCCUGUCCUCAGUGUUUCACUCACACCUCUUUCCUGGCUCAGUCCUGGACCACCCCAACUCGGUCCCUCUGAGACGUGGCCAUGGGGACAGCUCAGUCCUGGGACUCCAUUUAGGGUGAGAUUGCAUCCAGCUGGGCUUGGUCACCUCCAGACCUGUCGACACUAUUUCAAACACU